rnacentral:misc_RNA from 1 species
GUUCCAUCACAGAAAUCUCGUCAAGUUAAUCGGAUGGUGUUACGAAAAGCGUGAAUUCCUCCUCGUCUACGAGUACUUGCCUAAUGGAAGCCUGGACAAAUUCAUAUUCUGUGAGAAGUCCAGCAUGGAGGAAUCUACCAUAAGCUGGGAAACAAGGCUCAGUGUGGUAACUGGGACAGCGCAGGCUUUGGAAUAUCUGCACAACGGCUGCGAGGAGACGAUACUUCACCGAGACAUCAAGUCCAGCAACAUAAUGUUAGAUUCUGAGUUCAACGCCAAGCUGGGAGAUUUUGGACUUGCUCGUUCCAUUAAACUCGGUGAUCAAACUCACCACUCGACAAAAGAGCUUGCAGGAACACCUGGGUACAUGGCUCCAGAGAGUAUUCUCACCGGAAGGUUUACAAGGGAGACGGAUGUUUAUGCCUUUGGUAUACUCAUCCUGGAAGUUGCUUGUGGAAGGAAGCCUGGAAGUCAAAGCCAGCAGGAUGACUACAACAGUAACAUCGUGCAUUGGG